UAAGAUGAUUUAUACAAAUGAUCCAUCUGAUGUAGUUUGACUAUGCUUGUUUCUCUAUCAAGAUAGAACAUAUAGAUGAAUGGAUGAACUUAUGUUUGUUUACGCAUCUCUAUUUCAAUUUAGAUGAGUUUAAUAAAUAAAUAAUUUAUAUAUCUUUGUUUUAAAUUAAAUAUUAUAAGCUUAUGUUUAAUUAUAUUAUGGUUUUACGGUUUUGACGAAAAAUUGAAAUUUUACAAUUUAGAGGGAAAAGUGUAUUUUUAUGGUUUUGACGGAAAAUCAGGGUUUUAUGUUUUUGGCGGAUAAGCUAGCAUGCAGUGUUAGAAAGCAACAGUUUUUCGUCGUUCACAUGGAUCAUAUUUUUCGGUUUGGUUCACAGAGUCAGUAUGAAUCUCAAUAAGUUGAUGAAACAAUAUGUUUUUGGCGGAAAAUUAGUUAUACGAUUUUGACGGAAAAUUACGUUUUUGCACUUUUGGCGGGAAAUUACGUUUUUCCGGAUUUGACCGAAAAUUAAGAUUUUCCGGUUUUGGCGGGAAAGUGCAUUUCUGCAGCCUUAACAAAUAUUUGCAUUUUCCCGGUUUUGGCGGAAAAUUGUGUGUGUUUCUUGUUUUGGCGAAAGAUUGCAUUUUUUCUAGUUUUUGCAAGAAAUUACGUCUUUUUCGAUUUGACGGGAAAUUGUGUUUUUCAGUUUUGGCGAGAAAUUAUAUUUUUCAAUUUUGACAGAAAAUUUGUUUGUUUUUUUUCUCGUUUUGGCGGAAACAUGCGUUUUUAUGGUUUUAGCGGGAAAAUGCAUUUUUACGGUUUUCGUGAAAAAUUAUGUUUUUUUCCGACUUUGGAAGGAAGGUGCGUUUUUUUGGUUUUGGCGAAAAAUUGUGUUUUUCUAGUUUUAGCGGGAAAUUGUGAUUUUCUCGUUUUAGCGAGAAAUUGUGUUGUCUGGUUUUAGCGGAAAAUUGUGUUUUCCUCGUUUUAGCGGGAAAUUGCGUUUUUCCAUAUUUGACGGGAAAGUCUGCAUUCCGGUUUUGACGGGAAAUAAUGUUUUUCCGGUUUUGGCGAAAAAUGUGUCUUUGAGAUUUUGGCAAAAAAGUACAUUUUUACGGGUUUGACGGGGAAAUGCAUUUUUACGGUUAUGGGAGAAAUUGCAUUUUUCCAGUUUUUGCGAGAAAUUGUGGUUUUCUGUUUUGAUAGGAAAUUACGUUUUCUCGGUUUUGAAGGAAAAAAUUGUUUUUCGAUUUUGACGCAAAAUUAUGUUUUUAAGAAAAAUGCGCGUUUUACAGUUUUGAUGGGAAAUUACGUUUUUCUGGUUUUGGAAGAAAAUUGUAUUUUUCUGUUUUGGUGGGAAACUUCCUUAUUACAUUUUUUGUAGAAAAGCUUGUUUUACGGUUUUGGCAAAAAAUGAAUUUUUAUGGUUUUGGCAGAAAAGAGUGUUUUUGCGGUUUUGGCGGGAAAGUUCUUUUUUACGAUUUUAGUGGGAAAUUGUGUUUUUUCUGUUUUGACAUGAAAGUGUAUUUUAUCCGGUUUUGGUAGAAAACUGUGUUUAUGAUUUUGACGAGAAAUUUAUUUUUUGGUGAGGACUCACUCAUCCAAAUGCUCGGUGAAGAAUCACCCUCAAUUGAAUGAGAAUUUGAUGUGAGUUUUCACAAAUGUAGUUGGGUGAUCCAUAUGGAUGUAACAUUUUAAUGCACAAAACAAACAUCGAUUUGCAUCUUCACCCAGAUAGAUCACUUAGAUGAGCAAACGAACAGCACCGUAGAGGUUAUGACGACGCUGACAAAACUGAAGAUGAAUGGCAGUGUAACAUCCCGAUUUAUGAUAUAAAGGCUUAAGAAGAUUGAUUUUGCUAUGUCACAAAAGUUGACUUACUUUUUUUUGUUACACAUCCAUUUGGAACUCUAGAGUUAAGUGUGAUUGAACUGGAGUAGUGGAAGGAUGAAUGACCUAUCGUAAAGUGAUCCGUGAUAUUGUGUGAGUUAGACCAAAGUGCGGAGAAAGGUCAUGUGAUGAUUACAAGAUCAGUAAACAAUGAUUCCGAGCUUUGAAAAAUUUAUGCACCGACCGUUGGAACAGGAUAAGGCCCACGGGCGGAGUGAGUGGGUGUGGGUGGUCCAUUAGGUGUGGACGGUCAGAACGUUAUAAGUGACAUCAGAGUCGGGUUAGCUAUUGUGUGAGUGAGACCAAAGUACGGAGAAAGGUAAUAUGGUGAUUGCAGGCCAGUAAACAAUGAAUUUGAACUUUGAAAAAUUUGUGCACUGACCGUUGGACAAGAUGGGACCACAUACCGAGUGAGCAGGGUUGGGCGGUCCAUUGGUCGUGGACAGUCGGAGCGUUAUAAGUAGUAUCAAAGCCAUGUUAGCCAUCGUAUGAGUGAUGCCAAAGUACAUGAAAAUGAUUUCGAAUCUUAAAAAAUCUUAUGUACCGACUGUUGGAACGGGAUGAAACCGAGAGAACGGACAUGGAUGACCUAUUAGUCGUGGACGGUAGGGACUAUAGGCAGAGAGACAGACAAGCAGUUUAACUCUCUUUCUUUCUCUCUCUUUUUUCUCUUUAAAUUUAUGUUUUAAUAUUCUUUUUGUUUCGGUAUAUAUAAUAAGGGAUAUACUUCUUCUUUUUUUCCGAUUGUUGAAAUAUAUACUUCAGUAGCAGAUUGUGACGUAUGACAUAUCCAACAUUGCAUAAAAACAAACGAGGAAGAAAAUAUUGAAGGAAACUACACAUAAGUUUUAUUUUACCCAUUUUUAUUGCCAAAGCAAUCAUAAAUUUUUAGAUAUGUUUGUUUUUUUUCAUUGUCUUUGCAUUCAUUUUCCUGACGUAUACCGCACAACUUUUAGAAUCAUGUACCAGGAUAUCUUUUUUUAUUAUUCAUUUAUUUAUUGGUACGAAAGUGAUGGCUUGUAAUAAUACCUGGAAGUUGAAUAAGAUUUGACGAAAAAUUGUACUGCGUCAAAAUGUUUAAGCGAUAAAAGAAAAUUAUGGAGUAGCAAACUUGAGCCAAAGCCCUUUACUCCAUUCAACCUCCGGAUUAGAUACUCUAAUCAAUACCCAAUAAGAUUUUGAUCAAAAUUGUACUGCGGUCAAAAUGUUUAAGAAUUAUGUUUAAGAUUGCUAGUUGAUUUUAAGGUUAUGAUAUUAAAAGGUAGCUUUUCGAAGAUCAAUAGAAAUUUGUAAGAUGUUAGGGUACUAAGUGGUUAAAUAGAAUAUGAAAUGAAUAACUCCAUUGACUAUAACCAAUUGUGAGGCGUCACUAUAAAUGUUUUAUUUAUGGAACAUCAUACAAAAUAUGUAUGCUGAAAAGAACACACAUACACAUAUAUACUAUACAGUGAAACCUUUAUAAAUUAAUAAUUUUGAGACUACACCAAAACUAUAAUUUUUUAUUAAUUUAUAAAAAUAUUAAUUUAUCAAUAUACUAAUUAUACCAAAAAAAUUCAAUUUAAAACUAUAAAAUUAUAUUAUUUUAUAGAGAUUUUUAGUGUAUAUUAAUUUAUAGAGUAUUAGUUUAAAGAAGUUAUACUGUAUAUAUAUCUUUAAGUAUUUUUUAAUUUAUAUGACUUCUGUAGACGCACGCACGUACGUUUGAUACUGUGAAUAAGUUCUUUUUAGGGGUCAAAAUGUUAAAAACAUUUCCAAAUUCUACAUUAUUAUUAAUAGUUUUAUUAAUACGAAAAUAUACUAAUCUUGUAGUGAAUUUCUGAUACUAUGAAGAAGUUGACCCCAAAAACAAAUAAUUUUUAAAAAUACUAAACUUGAGUCUUUUGGUAUUUUUAAUCACUUUAAAAUCAAUGCUGCAUUAUCGACCGAAAACAACAAUGAAUAAUGCAUUAUUAUUGAUUGACUGAAGACAUGGUUCUGUCAUGCCAAUUUUCAAGUUUAAUAAGUUCGAAUAUUUCGACAGUUGAAAAUUAUAUUGAUAAAAACGUUUAUCCUACUGAAAAUAGUUGGCAGAAUAGAGUAGUAACUAACCUACAAACUUUGUCAUUCAGCCCACGAUUAUGACAGGCGACGCAUAUUCCACAUAAGAUCCAUUUCUAUAAAGUCAUUACAUAACAUCCAUAUGUAUCAAUUUAAAUGAUUGAGACAGUUUGAAAAUAAAGAGAAUAAUCUAGCUGUUCAGUUUUGUACUACCAAUAAUAAGGUCAAAAUACAUAUGGAUGGUAUGUAUCGAGUGUACAGACUUUUGUCUCAAUCAUACAGUUUUCUUUAUUCUUCCUUUAGAUUGUUAACAAAUCUUAUUAUCUCUAAAAUUCGUUCAUAUGUUCGCUUCCAAACAAAAUCAAAGACUAACAAGAACCAAACAAAAACCGAUUUGGCUAAUAUGAGUACCUAACAAGUUGGCCACUUCUCUACUGCUCUAAAAUUAUUUUUCUCAUUAUUAUUAUGGCACAAGAUCGGCUAAAUAUGUCAUUUUAACGUAUCAAGUUAAUAGUUUCUCUUGUCAAAAGGAUUAUGUUAUACAAGAGUUAAUUGCUUGAUAUAUAUGCUGUAUUAAAACCAGUAAUUUACUAGUUGCAAAGAAGCUAGGAUUACAAUUCUCAAAUGUUGGUAGACUUCUACUUGCUAAGGCCAUUAAAUCAAUGUUAUACCCACUUAUAGAUACGGCACUCUUUCAAAACCACAUCAUAUGAUUAUCUCUUCUUUUGUAGCCAAGUUAUAAACGGUACAAUAAGAACCAGCCUGGUGCAGAUUACUAUAUAAUUCAUAGCCAGUUCGAUGAAUUUAAAAUAAUACUGAACGCAGUGCCACAAAGUUAGCUUUUGGGUUUGUCCUUAAAACACACCAUUGACAAACCUAAGCGUCUGAACUAGUCAUGUUCAUUACUCAGCUAUUGCCGGUUAUGGUUAUGAAGCUACUUCUGUCUCUUCAUCUUUGUUUUUGGGUUUCUGAAAACCAUCAUCCUAAAUCCUACCCAUUCUCCAUAGAAACUCAUGUCGGCAAAGCUCGAAACAGAUAUGCAUUCAUUCGCCAUCUAAUCUCACAUAUGUUUCUUUCUUCCUUGUUUGAUCCAAAAAUGGUGUUUAUGCUGGUGGUUUUGGUUGAAUCAAUACAAUAAAAGAAUCUAAGAAUGAGAAUUAGAUUCUUGAGGUUUAGGAGAAAUCUU